GGUCUAGGAGAUGAUCAACACCCAUCAUGGUAUGAAGCAAUAUGUUGUCUUUGUGGAGUAUUUUAUAUCAAAUCAAGCCCAUAUACUUUCCUAAUGGUCCAGAAGUGGUGAUUCUUGACAUAUUUGUUGAUUGGUGUUAUUUAAGAAGGAUCAUUGAUUACUCCCUGAAAAAAAACUCGAGCUUUCAGAUUACCGGAAUUAAUACAUCGUUUUACUUCAAUCGAUGGGCUCAAACGGUUAAGAAACCGAGCGUCUCUGAAAAUUUCUGGUCAACAAGCACAGUUGAUAUGGACAACAUCACCUUCCUUCUCAAGGAGGAAGCAUAUCAUCCAGCUAGACUUUUGAAUCUCAAUCU